CGCGUAGGCGGCUCGGUAAGUCUGGAGUGAAAGUCCUUCUUUCAAGGAGGGAAUUGCUUUGGAUACUGUCGAGCUUGAGUGCAGGAGAGGUAAGUGGAAUUCCCAGUGUAGCGGUGAAAUGCGUAGAGAUUGGGAGGAACACCAGUGGCGAAGGCGACUUACUGGACUGUAACUGACGCUGAGGCGCGAAAGUGUGGGGAGCAAACA
rnacentral:rRNA from 1 species